rnacentral:rRNA from 1 species
UCCCGUAAUGGUGAGUCCCUUGGGUGAGAUUGCACAGGCGCUGUACGGCUGUGAUCAGCUGGUGUAGUGAGAUGUCGGUUUUAGUCCAGCAAGGAGCGCAGCCCCUGCCGUUAGUUAGGAUGUCUAGAGUGACCGCUGCUAUCUACGCGGAGGAUGGCGGCGAUGUCGUCAUGUCAGCACGGCCGUUACUCCUUGGGGUACACACACGCUUCAUUGCCCGGUCACACCGGUCAGCCAACCCGUGAGGGGGAGCUAAUCCCAUCAUAAUCGGUCUCAGUUCAGAUUGUCGGCUGCAACUCGCCUGCAUGAAGUUGGAGUUGCUUGUAACCGUGGGUCAGCACUCCACGGUGAAUACGUUCCUGGGUGUUGUACACACCGCCCGUCACACCACGAAAGUCGGCAACACCUGAAGCCGCUGAGCCAACGCGCAAUGCGAGGCAGGCGUCGAGGGUGGGGUCGGUGAUUGGGG